rnacentral:rRNA from 1 species
AUUGAACGCUGGCGGCAGGCCUAACACAUGCAAGUCGAGCGGAUGAAGGGAGCUUGCUCCUGGAUUCAGCGGCGGACGGGUGAGUAAUGCCUAGGAAUCUGCCUGGUUGUGGGGGAUAACGUCCGGAAACGGGCGCUAAUACCGCAUACGUCCUGAGGGAGAAAGUGGGGGAUCUUCGGACCUCACGCUCUCAGAUGAGCCUAGGUCGGAUUAGCUAGUUGGUGGGGUAAAGGCCUACCAAGGCGACGAUCCGUAACUGGUCUGAGAGGAUGAUCAGUCACACUGGAACUGAGACACGGUCCAGACUCCUACGGGAGGCAGCAGUGGGGAAUAUUGGACAAUGGGCGAAAGCCUGAUCCAGCCAUGCCGCGUGUGUGACGAAGGUCUUCGGAUUGUAAAGCACUUUAAGUUGGGAGGAAGGGCAGUAAGUUAAUACCUUGCUGUUUUGACGUUACCAACAGAAGAAGCACCGGCUAACUUCGUG